GUAACAACUGGGCGUGAGAACUACUGUAAAACAAGUAGUCCUCAGUGGGUACCGCCCAAAACAACAUCGGUCACCCACUAAGUCUACAGAAGGGAGCAAGGAUAGAAGGAAAGCAGGAAGCAUACUCUACCACUAUCAUCCACUACACUAUCAUGCUCUACACUAACCAACUGUAGGAAAUGUCAAAUCUGACCCAAUCCAAAUCGGGACUGUAAGCAUACCCGUCCCCGGGACUGUGAAUACACCCGUCCCUGCCCCGUUGCGACUAUCGGGCUCUAUCCACUCUAACUGGUCCGUGGAGAGCAAGUCCAACUGGCAUGCGCGACACCAACGCAAAAGCACAAGCCUGACUCCGGAGUGGCACUCGUGGGCGCUACCCAACCGAGUAUGCAGCGUAUCUCUGUCGAGUAUGCAGUCGUGGGCGCUACCCAACCGAGUAUGCAGCGUAUCUCUGUCGAGCUCAAUCAGGCUCCAACUAGCCAAAGUCAAGUAAUCGACUCAAAAUGGUCUAACAACCAACAGGUAACGUGCCCUCGGCACAAUCUGACGCCAAAAAGGCGAUACGGGUCCACCGUCAACUCUGACGGCACCCAACAGUCCGAAACGACCUGAACAACCCUGUAAAAAUCCACUCGGCGAACCAGUACGAGUGUAAAUACAUUCUAAACUACCUGGAAUACUCGUCUCGAAGAAACUGCGACAGUACAAUUUUCUAACGGUUCCUAGAGCUAAAUCAGGUAGUUAAAUCUGGUGACAGGUCCAAAUCGCAGGUUUUCUCCUAAUUCAAUUUCCAAGUCCAACAUGUAUAAUCUAUUUACUUGAUAAAAUAUGCUCGAAAAUUCAGAUUUUUACAUUCUAACAAUAAUCCAUGAAUUUGAGCUAAACUAUUGUAGAAACCACGAUUUAUACAUGUCGA
rnacentral:lncRNA from 1 species